rnacentral:rRNA from 1 species
CACGUAGGGCGCAAGCGUUGUCCGGAAUUAUUGGGCGUAAAGGGCUCGUAGGCGGUUUGUCGCGUCGGGAGUGAAAUCCACUGGCUUAACUGGUGGCUUGCUUUCGAUACGGGCAGACUGGAGGUAUGCAGGGGGAGAACGGAAUUCCUGGUGUAGCGGUGAAAUGCGCAGAUAUCAGGAGGAACACCGGUGGCGAAGGCGGGUCUCUGGGCCGAAACUGACGCUGAGGAGCGAAAGCGUGGGGAGCGAACAGG